rnacentral:rRNA from 1 species
GUCGAGCGGUAGAGAGGUGCUUGCACCUCUUGAGAGCGGCGGACGGCUGAGUAAAGCCUAGGAAUCUGCCUGGUAGUGGGGGAUAACGCUCGGAAACGGACGCUAAUACCGCAUACGUCCUACGGGAGAAAGCAGGGGACCUUCGGGCCUUGCGCUAUCAGAUGAGCCUAGGUCGGAUUAGCUAGUUGGUGAGGUAAUGGCUCACCAAGGCGACGAUCCGUAACUGGUCUGAGAGGAUGAUCAGUCACACUGGAACUGAGACACGGUCCAGACUCCUACGGGAGGCAGCAGUGGGGAAUAUUGGACAAUGGGCGAAAGCCUGAUCCAGCCAUGCCGCGUGUGUGAAGAAGGUCUUCGGAUUGUAAAGCACUUUAAGUUGGGAGGAAGGGCAUUAACCUAAUACGUUAGUGUUUUGACGUUACCGACAGAAUAAGCACCGGCUAACUCUGUGCCAGCAGCCGCGGUAAUACAGAGGGUGCAAGCGUUAAUCGGAAUUACUGGGCGUAAAGCGCGCGUAGGUGGUUCGUUAAGUUGGAUGUGAAAUCCCCGGGCUCAACCUGGGAACU